rnacentral:tRNA from 1 species
GGGUGGGUAGCUUAGUGAUUAGAGCUUAGGUCUCGUAACCGGAAGGUCCCGGGAUCGAAUCCCGCUAGAGGUUUUUUCA